rnacentral:rRNA from 1 species
UACGUAGGGUGCAAGCGUUGUCCGGAAUUAUUGGGCGUAAAGGGCUCGUAGGCGGCCAACUAAGUCGGACGUGAAAUCCCUCAGCUUAACUGGGGAACUGCGUCCGAUACUGGAUGGCUUGGAUUUGGGAGAGGGAUGCGGAAUUCCAGGUGUAGCGGUGAAAUGCGUAGAUAUCUGGAGGAACACCGGUGGCGAAGGCGGCAUCCUGGACCAAUAUUGACGCUGAGGAGCGAAAGCCAGGGGAGCAAACGGG